AGGGGCGGAGCUGCGGGGAGGAGGCGGGGCUGGGAGGAGCUGGGGGAGGAGUAUCAGGGGCCGACCUGUGGUAAAGAGCUGGGGAGAAGGAGUUGCGGGAGGGGGAGGCGGAGCCUCGAGAAAGCGACGAGGGAGAAGCCGGGGCGGAGCUGUGAGGAAGCUUGGCGAGGAGGAGCUGUGGGAGGAGAUGGGGAGAAGCAGGGCGGAGCUGCGAGGAAGGAGGCGGAGCUGCGGGGAAGGAACUUGGGUUGGAGGAGUUAAGGGAGGCGCCUGUGGGGCAGGUGUUUGAGGAGAGCUGGGUGAAGAGGCGGCAGAGCCGGGGAGGAGCAGGGCGGGGCCUCCAGGAGGAGGAGCAGCUGAGGGAGGGGAAGGGUGGAGCUGCGGAGGAGUGGGGCGGGGCUGAGGAAACGCUGGGACGCAGUGGGCUGGAGCUGGGAGGAGCUGGGGGAGCAGUUUCUGGGACUGAGACAUGGGAAAGAACUGUGUGAGGAGGCGCUCCUGGAAGAGGCGGCAGAGCCGGGGAGGAGCAGGGCGGAGCUUUCAGGGGGAGGAGCAGCUGAGGGCGGAGCCGAGUGGAGCUGGGGAGGAGUGGAGCGGAGCUGACAGGGAUGGAGCUGUGGGUCUUGGGAACCCAUGGAGGGUGGGCGAGGACAGGCAGUGCCCUUUUGAGUCUCUUGACAUAGGCGUCCAGUCCAGGCCGCAGCAGUCGGCCAGAGUCGCAGUGGCAGCCCCCAGCGUUGUCAGCGACCUCAUCGGACCGUCGGAAUGGCCCUCAGACGGCAGGGAGGCGGAGAGAGGGCGGGGCCUCUGGGCUGAGUCCUGCAUCUCAGGGCUGAAUGCUCAGGCCAGUUCCCCUCCUCCAGGCCGCCCUGGGACUGCUGGCCGAGUCCUGAGGUACAGUCUUGGUCUGGCCUUUUUGCAAGUGAGAAGGAAAAUCCCCACACUGUUUCCUGCUGCUCCUCGGACCUGGGGUCCCACGCAAAGCCAGCUUCCCUGUCAGAGCGCUUUUCUGUCCUCUUCCUCUCCCCUGGGGGCUCAAGCCACUCGAUGCCACCCGCCUGGCUCUGCUCCUUUGGUUCCCUUACCGUCGCCCUCCCUCCCUGUUUCUUUGAUGACCAAGUCCUGUGUCCCUGCCUCCCAAGUGACCGAUCAGAAUAAAUGCUUCUCUUCCUGUCCCCACUGCCCCUUCCGGAGUUCAGGCCUCAUGGCCGGGGCCUGUGCUAUUACCUGAGCCCCCCACCGGCCUGGACGCCUCCUGUCUCUCCUCCUCCAGGGGCUGCUCCACACGUGUCUAACUGCACAUCUGUCCUUGUCAGCCCCAGACUGAAAACCCUGCCAAGUCCUCUCUUGUUUAAGCUCCAACACCUCGGGGCCCAGGUAGGGCCUUCCAGUGGCCCCAGCUCUCCCUCCUGGUCACCCAACAGUCUAGGUCACUGGGCUGUCCCUGCACAGUGAGCGCACUUGCCCUACCCCGACUGGAGGCUUUGGCACGCGCGGUUCCACACCUGGAAGGCUGGCUCCUCUUGUCCUGACAAACGCCUGUCCUCCUUCCGGGCGCAACUGGAAGCUCCCCAUCUCCGCCCGACCCGGGCGCCAGGCACUCUUGUCUGGGAGUUCUGGUAACGCUGCGCCUUGCUGCUGCCUUCCUUCCCUGGGCUUUUCCUCCUGGGUUGUAGCUGCUCUCCAAGAGUCCGUGGCCCGCUCAGCGGCGCUGGGUCCCUUGACGGCGAGGACAGUGUCUUACUCAUUUCCCUAAGCUGGGUGCCCCGACACGGUGGGGUGGGUGCUUAGGAAACUUUGGAUCCGCAGAGGACUGCUUUGUCUUCCAGCAGUCCUGCACCUGCUCUCUCCUUGCAGAAGCCCGAGGAAGCAGGGAUGCUGGCCCUGAGUCAGUGGGCGCCGAUCCUUAGUACAAUCUGAUGUCUGACUUCCCGGUGAGUUUCUUCACCUGCUCCUUCCCAUGUCCUCCACGAAUGAAGUCCUGGAAGAGCGGGCCUCCUCCCCCUCCCUCUCUGGUCACAGGAUGCCUCCUCCUGCCCCUCGGAGGCUGGUUUCCUCCUGUCUUCGUAGGCCAGCUUUGGACUCAGUAUUGGCCUAGAGGCUCCAAACUGUACGUGACCCCAAAGGCCCUGUCCCUGGCUUCCGCUGUGUCCCCUGGCAGCUCCAAGCUCCGGUUGGCCAAGGCCCUCUUCACACGGCCCGGAUCGUGUGGUCCAGCCUGAGAUCUGUACGUAUUUCUGAUUUUUGUCUUCAUGACACUCCGAGUCCUCAGGGAGAAGCUGCACCACAGGGGACCUGCCGAUGUGGGCGGAGACGUUGCCACUGCUGGUCCUGUGGUGCCUGCACACGGACCCUGGCACACAGAGUGGGAGCCAGGGGCGUGUCUGGGCACUUCUGGCGCUGCCCCGCCUGCACUCAUGUUACAGAUCAUUCUGCCACCUCCCACGGAGGCGGGAGAUGCUCUUUCUGUGUCUCCAUCACUCCUAAGCUCUCCUGACUUCGUGCUCCUUACCGUCCUCGGUCUCUGAGCACAGAAGCACCGACCCGGGUGCCAGGCCCUCCACAGCUGGACGAGGGGCUUCCUGACACCAUGCUGCGGCCGAGCAAACGGGCCCAGCUUACUUGUUUGCUAGAUUCAGUUGGGGCGGGGGUCUGGAGCACGAGUUGCCGUCCCCUAACCGUGGUUGCAGGGCUUGCACGAGCAGACUGAUGUGCUCUGGGCAGAGGACCCGUUCAGCCACCUCUUGAGUGUAUCUGUGUACUCACCGUGGGGACUUUGCAAAGUGCAGAAAGGAUGUGAAGAGUCAGGACCAAAGACGCUCAUAAGGCAUCGCCGGAGGCAGAAACGUUCACAGUUGGGGCAUAUUUCCCCGUUCUUUUUCUCUGCAUUUUCCCUUUACUCACUUGAGUUCGUGCAGUGUUAACGUUCUCUCUUACGUUUUUUCACUUGGCAUCAACUGUUAUCCCAAGUUCUGAAAGGUUCCUCAGAAGACAUCUGACUAACCCCACACUUCAUCCUGGAGGAUGUUGGAUUCCAGGCUCUCUUGCUCAAGACCACGUGACACAUCCUGGGGAAUGGCCCAGCGUCCCUCAGACAAGUGACACCCGCUGCUCAGAACCUCCAGCACGGGCCCUGGGGUGGCUGCAGAGACAGAGUUGAUUGAGUCUCCCAUACCUGUGUUGAGUUGGGCCCUGUGUCCGACGGCCUCGAACUAUCUGGUUGUCCCAUUUCCCAGUGUUGGGUCGCCCGGUGCAGAGCCCGAGGUCCCUUUGGGAAGGGCUGGGGGAUCAUUCCUGUGUCUCCUGCCACAGUACUGUAAUGUCCUUCCCCCGUGGACCCGGCCACCUCCCUAGUCGGUUCCAGGUCUGAAAACUGGCUCAGGGGCAGAGCCUGGGCAAGGGAUCACAAUUCAUUUAUUGGGGUGACUGCC